CUUCAGGGGGCUCUGGGCCAGGCUGGGGCUGGGGCCGGUGGGAGGACUGAAGGAAAAGAAGGCUGGAGGCUGUGGGGGCCCAGAGGCUUUGGGCAGCUGCUCUGUCCAUGCCCGCAGGCCUUCGUAAGUCUGGCUGGGCGAGAAGUGGCCGAAGGAGCCAUCCCAGGGAGAGAGCUGGGGCGGCUGGAAGCUGGGCGUGGAGGGCGACGGGGCCGAGCAGGGGCUGCCAUAGUAGUCAGAGCCACUGGAGGACAGGGCCUCAUCCACUGGGCCGCUCAGGGGGCCGGGGUAGCAGCCGUACACCUGGAAGUCCUCGAACUUGAAGGAGGCAGAGGCAGGGGAGGUGGCUGAGGACGAGGAUGUGGAGGAGGCCGAGGAGGAGGCUGAGGAGCAUGGCUGGACUGUUCCUGGCAGCUGGUAGAGGAAGGUGUCAAACUCUCCUGUGUAGCCGUCCAUGAAGGUGCUGAAGCUGGGCAGGGCAGUGGGGGCAGCGGGGGCUGCCUCGGGGCUGGCCAGGUCCAUGGUGGGCUUGAUGAACUCAGGGGUCAGGGGGUCGCUUGCCAGGUGGUCACGGGGUCCCGGACUCGGUGCUGGUGUCCCAUAUUGGGCUUGGAUACAGGGCAUCUCCGGCCGGCUCCCGCUGCCCCUGCCCGGACUGGCGCCCCGAGUCUCAGCCUGGUCCCUGGUCCCGCGUGCGCUCCCGAAGUUCUUCUGUGCACUCCCCCAAGUUUCGUAGC
rnacentral:lncRNA from 1 species